CUUUGGGAGGCUGAGGUGGGCAGAUUGCUUGAGGUUGGGAGUUCGAGACCAGCCUGGCCAACAUGAUGAAACUCCAUCUCUACUAAAAAUACAAAAUUAGCUGGGCGUGCUGGUACAUGCCUGUAUUCCCAGCUACUCAGGAGGCUGAGGCAGGAGAAUUGCUUGAACUCGGAAGGCGGAGGUUGUGGUGAGCCGAGAUCACACCACUGUACUCCAGCCUGAGCAACAAGAGUGAAACUCCGUCUCAAAAAAAAAAAAAAAAAAAGAAAAGAAAAAAAAUUAUACUCAAAUAAUGGGAACCACUACUUUACACAUUAUGGAUUCAUAAUAAAAUUUAUUUGAGGGAGAAUGGAGAUGAGGAUAAAUAGGCCAGCCAGUGAGUGUGCAAAGCACUUCAUAUUGGCUUUUGGAAAGAAGCUUUGUGAAAAAUGUUCAACUGUAAGUGAAAGGAGAGGAGAAAAGACGUUUACCUCCUGGAGUGGGGUUUUGCAUUGGAUAUGAUAGGCCUAAAAAGUGAGUCCUGAGGGUUCAUAUAUUGGGGGGGGUCUUUUAGGAAUGAAAGGCAAGGGAGAUGGCUCUCUGUAGGAGUGAUUCUAUGUAGUUGCAAUUUUAAUUGCAAAAACUGCAAUUACUUUUGUGCGAACCUAAUAGUAACAGUUUCCAAAAGACAGAAGAUAAAGAGAAUAAAAUGCCUAGUUUACAGAACCAUAUUUGGUCUGAGGAUGCAUAAUUAAGGAUUCUUAAUUUAUAUAUAUAUAAAAUUUACAUAUAUUACAUACAAAAAAUAUGAUAAUCUUUUACUAGCUCAUAUAAACUAUCGAUCUGCAGUAACUGAAGAAUAACAAUAACAAUAUGUUUUCUCUAAUUCAUCAGGUAUAAUUUGCCAUAAUUUAAAACAGAGAAAUAUGGAAGAAUUAUCACCAAUCCAGACAUAGAAGUACUCAAGAGUAACAGAACAUACACCUAAAAUGGUUUCUGCUAGCCUUUAUUUGAGAAAAUUUACACAAAAAUCCCCAAUCCAACAUUUACAAGUGAAUCUGUAUAAACCCCAUAUGCCUCUUUCCCAAACAAACCGAGAAAUGGCUUUAUGACAGGGGUCCAUGACAAUGGUAUAACAAGGCUUACUUAAACUGCAUCAUUCUCAUUUAUAUUAUACAGACCAUUUUGGAUAAUAUGCUCAAAAAUGGAGGAAAGCACAUAACACCCCUGAUUUUAAAGCUUAUUUGCUCUUGUAUCAGUCUUUUGUCAAAGGCAAAUACUUUUACUUUUUAGAUGAAACCAAAAUGUAAUAUCAAUUAACUUUUAAACCAAAAGCACAAAGUGUCCCAGUUGAUAGUUUUGGCAUGAGUAAAGGGAAGGGACAUGAAAGAAUGUCAACUCCUACAAAGCUUAAGUUUGGGGUCACAUUUGGGAACAAAAGCAUCAACGAAAUAAAAUAUUCUCUUCUCCUAUCUUCUUGACAUUUUGUCACAUCAGAAGAACAUAA